rnacentral:rRNA from 1 species
CUCCUACGGGAGGCAGCAGUGGGGAAUAUUGCACAAUGGGCGAAAGCCUGAUGCAGCAACGCCGCGUGAGCGAUGAAGGCCUUCGGGUCGUAAAGCUCUGUCCUCAAGGAAGAUAAUGACGGUACUUGAGGAGGAAGCCCCGGCUAACUACGUGCCAGCAGCCGCGGUAAUACGUAGGGGGCUAGCGUUAUCCGGAAUUACUGGGCGUAAAGGGUGCGUAGGUGGUUUCUUAAGUCAGAGGUGAAAGGCUACGGCUCAACCGUAGUAAGCCUUUGAAACUGGGAAACUUGAGUGCAGGAGAGGAGAGUGGAAUUCCUAGUGUAGCGGUGAAAUGCGUAGAUAUUAGGAGGAACACCAGUUGCGAAGGCGGCUCUCUGGACUGUAACUGACACUGAGGCACGAAAGCGUGGGGAGCAAACAGGAUUAGAUACCCUGGUAGUCCACGCCGUAAACGAUGAGUACUAGCUGUCGGAGGUUACCCCCUUCGGUGGCGCAGCUAACGCAUUAAGUACUCCGCCUGGGAAGUACGCUCGCAAGAGUGAAACUCAAAGGAAUUGACGG